UACGUAGGGGGCAAGCGUUGUCCGGAAUUAUUGGGCGUAAAGCGCGCGCAGGCGGUCUUUUAAGUUUGGUGUUUAAGCCCGGGGCUCAACCCCGGUUCGCACUGAAAACUGGGAGACUUGAGUGCAGGAGAGGAAAGCGGAAUUCCACGUGUAGCGGUGAAAUGCGUAGAGAUGUGGAGGAACACCAGUGGCGAAGGCGGCUUUCUGGACUGUAACUGACGCUGAGGCGCGAAAGCGUGGGGAGCAAACAGG
rnacentral:rRNA from 1 species